AGAGUUUGAUCGUGGCUCAGAUUGAACGCUAGCGGGAUGCUUUACACAUGCAAGUCGAACGGCAGCGCGAGAGAGCUUGCUCUCUUGGCGGCGAGUGGCGGACGGGUGAGUAAUAUAUCGGAACGUGCCCAGUAGCGGGGGAUAACUACUCGAAAGAGUGGCUAAUACCGCAUACGCCCUACGGGGGAAAGGGGGGGAUCGCAAGACCUCUCACUAUUGGAGCGGCCGAUAUCGGAUUAGCUAGUUGGUGGGGUAAAGGCUCACCAAGGCAACGAUCCGUAGCUGGUUUGAGAGGACGACCAGCCACACUGGGACUGAGACACGGCCCAGACUCCUACGGGAGGCAGCAGUGGGGAAUUUUGGACAAUGGGGGAAACCCUGAUCCAGCCAUCCCGCGUGUAUGAUGAAGGCCUUCGGGUUGUAAAGUACUUUUGGCAGAGAAGAAAAGGUACCUCCUAAUACGAGGUACUGCUGACGGUAUCUGCAGAAUAAGCACCGGCUAACUACGUGCCAGCAGCCGCGGUAAUACGUAGGGUGCAAGCGUUAAUCGGAAUUACUGGGCGUAAAGCGUGUGUAGGCGGUUCGGAAAGAAAGAUGUGAAAUCCCAGGGCUCAACCUUGGAACUGCAUUUUUAACUGCCGAGCUAGAGUAUGUCAGAGGGGGGUAGAAUUCCACGUGUAGCAGUGAAAUGCGUAGAUAUGUGGAGGGAAUACCCGAUGGCGAAGGCAGCCCCCUGGGAUAAUACUGACGCUCAAACACGAAAGCGUGGGGAGCAAACAGGAUUAGAUACCCCUGGGUAGUCC
rnacentral:rRNA from 1 species